rnacentral:tRNA from 1 species
ACCUGGGUGGCUCAGUUGGUUGAGCGUCUGACUUCGGCUCAGGUCAUGAUCUCACAGUUUGUGGGUUCAAGCCCCACAUCAGGCU